rnacentral:rRNA from 1 species
GACAGAGGUGCCGAGCGUUAGGCGGAAUCACUGGGCUUAAAGCGUGUGUAGGCGGGUCGUUAAGUGUCCGUGUGAAAUCCCACCGCUCAACCGUGGAACUGCUGGGUAUACUGCUUGUCUUGUGCAACCUAGGGGCGAGCGGAACAGAUGGUGGAGCGGUGAAAUGCGUAGAUAUCAUCUGGAACGCCAAUGGUGAAAACAGCUCGCUGGGGGUUUGCAGACGCUGAGACACGAAAGCCAGGGGAGCGAACGGG